GAAAACUAACAGAGAAGAAAGAGAGAAAAAAGGGAAAAACAUCAAUGGCCAGAAAAUUCCAUGAAGCACCUAUUAUUUGUCUCUCUCCUUUAUUCUUGAUUUCCUAUGACUUGCUCGCAUCGCCAUUAGUGACUGCUGUGAGGAGAGGAUCUUCUGAUUCAAAAUUGGUGUCCUCCUCGUCUACCCUCACUCCAGAAACCAAAACUACCAUGGAAGACAAAGGCCGUGGUGCUGGUGAAAGUCGAGGUGGAGUGAAUCUGACAAAGAAGAGAGAAUUCACCAUAUUCGUAGACUAUAGAGAUAGAUAAACGUUCGCUAAACCCAAAGUAGAUAGUUGAGAUCCCAGCCCAACCCAAUAGCGCGAAAGCCCCAAACCUUCGCCUUUCUUUUUCCUUCCCGCCAUUCAUUCAGUCUUUUGCUUCCUUCCUUCCACACUGAUUGCCUCGUAAUUCGCGUCGUUUUCUUCUUCAUCACUCACUCCAUUCGUUACUUAUUUCAAUUCAAUUCUGAGUUCUAUCUAUGGUUUCCCACACUCUUCAUCAACCCACCGCAGGCAUCGUCAAGCAACUUCGACUCGAGAACUUCAUGUGCCAUUCCAAACACGAGACCGAGUUCGGAAACCACGUCAAUUUCAUCACCGGUCAAAACGGAAGUGGUAAGAGUACAAUCCUAGCUGCACUGUGUGUUGCAUUUGGCUGUCGAGCCAAAGAGACUCAAAGGACUUCCACUUUGAAGGAUUUCAUUAAAACUGGCGCCACUGAUGCUGUCAUCCAAGUUGAAAUUCAAAAUGAAGGGGAGGGUGCUUUUAAACCUGAAAUAUAUGGUCCUGUUAUCAUCGUAGAACGUAGGAUAUCUGAAUCAACAAGUUCUGCUACAUUAAAAGACCACCAAGGAAGGAAGGUUGUCAGUUGGAAAACAGAUCUUCUAGAAAUCGUUGAACAUUUUAAUAUUGAUGUGGAGAAUCCAUGUGUAAUUAUGAAUCAAGACAAAAGCAGAGAAUUUUUGCAUUCUGGGAAUAACAAAGAUAAAUUUAAGUUCUUUUACAAGGUCACGCUUCUUCAGCAAGUCAAUGAUCUUCUGGAAAGCAUUUCCCACAGAGGGGCAUUUUAUGGUAGCGGUUUUGGGUAAAAAUAGUGUUUCAGUUUGUAGAAAAUCCUUUCAAAGUUCACAACUAUCAGGCCUGACUUGUGACUACUGCCCGACCCCUGUGACCCUCUAGUGACUCUCAGGAUGCAGUAAGCCGAAAAAUCAGCUUGGACCCUCUAGUUGAUUUUGCUGAGGCACAUGGAUCACAGCGGAUAUUCAUCACUCCACAUGAUACUAGUUCGGUGAGGGCAGGGGACAGGAUAAAGAAGGUGCAAAUAGCCGCUCCACGUUCUUGAUUGUUUGUAAUUUGCUUUAUUUAUGGCUUCGGGAAACCCUAUGAAAAUGUAUUUUUCUGAUUCUGCGUUUAAUCAUGUCCAUUAUCUGAUAAUUAUUUGCUUCAAUUUUUUUUCAUUAUUGUGUCUGGGAGGGGCAUGUUUAAGGCAGAUUUAUACAUUUUAUGUAAUGUAAAUAGAUAAAAUUAUGUCUAAGUUAAUCCUUUAAAGUAUAUUCCAGGUAAGUGCUUCGCUUU